rnacentral:rRNA from 1 species
GGUCAAGAAGAGAAGCGCAAACGGUGGAUGCCUUGGCAGUAAGAGGCGAAGAAGGACGUGGAAUCCUGCGAAAAGCUAUGGGGAGCUGGAAACGAGCGUUGAGCCAUAGAUGUCCGAAUGGGGGAACCCGGCUGCAGCGAUGCGGUCAUUUGCAUUUGAAUACAUAGGAUGCAAAGGCGAACUCGGGGAACUGAAACAUCUAAGUACCCGAAGGAAAAGAAAUCAAGAGAGAUUCUCCAAGUAGCGGCGAGCGAACGGGGAGGAGCCUGGCGUGAUUUAUUAUUGAACUGAGUAGAACAAUUUGGGAAAGUUGGCCGAAGAGGGUGAAAGCCCCGUAUACGAAGGUUUGAUGAGGAACUAGGCACGCGAACAAGUAGGCCGGGACACGUGAAAUCCUGGUUGAAGAUGGGUGGACCAUCAUCCAAGGCUAAAUACUACUUACUGACCGAUAGUGAACCAGUACCGUGAGGGAAAGGUGAAAAGAACCCCGGAGAGGGGAGUGAAAUAGAAUCUGAAACCGUUUGCGUACAAGCAGUGGGAGCAUGGUUUAGGCUGUGUGACUGCGUACCUUUUGUAUAAUGGGUCAGCGAGUUACUUUCAGUGGCGAGGUUAACUGAAUAAGGGAGCCGUAGAGAAAUCGAGUCUGAAUAGGGCGAUAGUCGCUGGGAGUAGACCCGAAACCGGGCGAUCUAGCCAUGUGCAGGAUGAAGGUUGGGUAACACCAACUGGAGGUCCGAACCGGGUAAUGUUGAAAAAUUAUCGGAUGACGUGUGGCUAGGAGUGAAAGGCUAAUCAAGCCCGGAGAUAGCUGGUUCUCCCCGAAAGCUAUUUAGGUAGCGCCUCGUGAAUGAUUACUGGGGGUAGAGCACUGUUUCGGCUAGGGGGCUGUCAUGGCUUACCAAACCGAUGCAAACUCCGAAUACCGGCUAAUUGAAUCACGGGAGACACACGGCGGGUGCUAACGUCCGUCGUGGAGAGGGAAACAACCCAGACCGCCAGCUAAGGUCCCCAAGUACUAGUUAAGUGGGAAACGAUGUGGGAAGGCAUAGACAGCCAGGAGGUUGGCUUAGAAGCAGCCACCCUUUAAAGAAAGCGUAAUAGCUCACUGGUCGAGUCGGCCUGCGCGGAAGAUGUAACGGGGCUAAAACUAGUCACCGAAGCUGCGGAUGUGCGCGAAGGCGCACGUGGUAGGGGAGCGUUCUGUAGGCUGAUGAAGGUGCAUUGAGAAGUGUGCUGGAGGUAUCAGAAGUGCGAAUGCUGACAUGAGUAACGAUAAUGUGGGUGAAAAGCCCACACGCCGGAAGUCCCAGGUUUCCUGCACGACGUUAAUCGGAGCAGGGUGAGUCGGCCCCUAAGGCGAGGCUGAAGAGCGUAGUCGAUGGGAACCAGGUUAAUAUUCCUGGACUUUUUAUAAGUGGUGAAGUGGGGACGAAGAAGGCUAGGUGAGCCAGGCGUUGGUUGUCCUGGUACUUGCAUGUAGGGGGGAAGACUUGGCAAAUCCGGUUUUCCAUAACUCUGAGGUGCGAAGUGGUUCUGACCUUUUGGUACAGAGAAGUCAUUGAUGCCCGGCUUCCAGGAAAAGCUGCUAGCCAUAACUUAUAGAGAACCGUACCGCAAACCGACACAGGUGGACAGGUAGAGAAUACUAAGGCGCUUGAGAGAACUCGGGUGAAGGAACUAGGCAAAAUGGUACCGUAACUUCGGGAGAAGGUACGCCCUUUCUGGUGAUGGGAUUUACUUUCAGAGCUGGAGAGGGCCGCAGAGACCAGGUGGCUGCGACUGUUUAUUAAAAACACAGCACUCUGCAAAUUCGUAAGAAGACGUAUAGGGUGUGACGCCUGCCCGGUGCCGGAAGGUUAAUUGAUGGGGUUAUCUUCGGAGAAGCUCUUGAUCGAAGCCCCGGUAAACGGCGGCCGUAACUAUAACGGUCCUAAGGUAGCGAAAUUCCUUGUCGGGUAAGUUCCGACCUGCACGAAUGGCGUAACGAUGGCCACACUGUCUCCACCCGAGACUCAGUGAAAUUGAAAUCGCUGUGAAGAUGCAGUGUACCCGCGGCUAGACGGAAAGACCCCGUGAACCUUUACUAUAGUUUUGCACUGGACUUUGAUGAUGACUGUGUAGGAUAGGUGGGAGGCUGUGAAGUGAGGACGCUAGUUCUCAUGGAGCCGCCCUUGAAAUACCACCCUGUUGUUAUUGAGGUUCUAACUUGGUCCAGUAAUCCUGGAUGAGGACAGUGUAUGAUGGGUAGU